rnacentral:rRNA from 1 species
UACGGAGGGUGCAAGCGUUGUUCGGAUUUAUUGGGCGUAAAGCGCGUGUAGGCGGUCUCUUAAGUCUGAUGUGAAAGCCCCCGGGCUCAACCCGGGAAGUGCAUUGGAUACUGGGAGACUUGAAUACGGGAGAGGGUAGUGGAAUUCCUAGUGUAGGAGUGAAAUCCGUAGAUAUUAGGAGGAACACCGGUGGCGAAGGCGGCUACCUGGACCGAUAUUGACGCUGAGACGCGAAAGCGUGGGGAGCAAACAGG